UACGGGGGGGGCAAGCGUUGUUCGGAAUUACUGGGCGUAAAGGGUUCGUAGGUGGCUCGCUAAGCCAGACGUGAAAUCCCUCAGCUUAACUGGGGAACUGCGUCUGGGACUGGAGAGCUCGAGUGCAGGAGAGGAAUGCGGAAUUCCAGGUGUAGCGGUGAAAUGCGUAGAUAUCUGGAGGAACACCGGUGGCGAAGGCGGCAUUCUGGACUGCAACUGACACUGAGGAACGAAAGCCAGGGGAGCAAACGGG
rnacentral:rRNA from 1 species